UGAUGCGCCGUUUCUCUCCUGUCGUGUCCACCUUAUAUAUCUCGCUCUCUUCCUCGUUACCAUUUCUCCCUCUAUCUCUCUCUCAUCAACCCGAGCCCAGCCCUAGUCGGAACAUCGGUAUAUAAUCCCAAAUCCCUAUUUUUGUAUCUUCGAUUGGAGCAAAAAGAUAGCACGAUUGGGAAUCAGAUGGAUGUAAGUGUUCUCAGAGUUCCUGAAGGAAUCAGGGGUCGUUGAAAAUCCUUAUUGCUAUAUUCUCCCCAACCCCAUAUUAAAUUAGAGCAAAAACAAAACUUAAAUCAGGUCGAUGGAAGCAAUCUCAGCGGACAAGGUUCCUGAAGAAAUCACACCCAAAAAAAGAAAAAUUAAAAUUAGAUGUAGGCAAGCAAUGCCGGCGGACAACAGCGUUAAUAUUCCUGAAGAAAUACUUCACAACAUCCUGCUGUUGUUGCCCAUCAAAUAUCUACUCAAAUACACCGCAGUGUGCCAGUCAUGGAGGUCUCUAAUCCAAAGCUCUGCCUUCAUCCAUACACACCUCAGCCGCGCAAUCAUCCAAUCAAACAACCAAAAUGACGACGCUCAUCUCUUGCUGCUACAGUCUUCCAACAGGGAAGAGAGAAAAAGAUCUUACUCGUUGCAUUGGGAUCGAUGCCCUUCAUUCAGUGAGUACUCCAAGCUUACAGAUCCAUUCGUAGCUUACAAUGAAAUUAGUGGACGUCAAGAAGACAAUAAUCAAACAACAAAAAUGGGUAACAGAAACUGCAAGAUCAAUGUGCUAGGGACUUGUAACGGGCUGGUUUGCCUCCAGGAAGGUGACAUUGCGACUUUAAUUUGGAACCCCAGUAUUAGAAAGUUUGUGGUUUUGCCUCCCCCGGGUGUUACCUUCCUGGGGUUUAAAAGCCACGCAUUUGGCUAUGAUCCGCGUACCAAUGACUAUAAGGUUUUCAGAAGUGUUAGUUAUUAUAAGCCUUCCCGCUUGUCCCGUGCAGUUGAGAUUUUUUCCUUAGCCAAGGGCUCCUGGAAGAGGCUUCAUAAUGCUGUUGUUCCUGCAAACUUCUCGCCUGGAAACUUUACUAGUAAUGAUAAACCCGAUGCUCUUGUUAAUGGUGCUUUGCAUUGGAUUCAGACAGAGGGGGACGACAAGUUCAUUGUGUCCUUUGAUUUGUCCACUGAAUUAUUUGGCAAGAUCCUGAUGCCCAAAUCAGCUUUGAGAAGGAGGACUAAGAAGUGGACACGCGAAGCUCCCGUGGUAAAAAAUGUUUGCUAUGCUUCAAGAUACGGGGGCCGCCUUGCCUUUUUUGAGAAACAUCAAAAUAUGCUAUUAACUGGUGAUGUUCAUUUUUACUUGUGGGUGAUGAAAGACUAUGGUGUUGCAGAAUCCUGGUCUAAAUUAUUCACUAUAUCUACUCAACAAAUUGUGCUCAGGCCACUUUGUUUCAGAAAGAGUGGCCAAGUAGUGCUUGCGUAUCUUUCGGAUGACAAGUGUUAUGAAUUGGUAGACCCUCACAACAAACAAUGUGAUGAUUUUCGAAUUGAUGGGUACUGCCCCAGGACAAGCCUCUACUGCUUCGUGGAUUAUUUUGUAGAGAGCAUUGUCUUACUCGAUCGACCCGAUGCUAUUUCAUACUAGAAAGAUGAGGAUUCUUGCUCCGCGAAACAUGGGAGGGGAGGAAAGAAGAGCAACUGCUAAGAGGAACGAAGCAACUGCUAAGAGAAACUGAUAAGAAGAGUAACUGGUCCGUAUACAGAUCAGGACUAGAAGUUCCUUAAUCCUCAUCAUACAACUAAAUCAGGACGUGAAGAUCCUUGAGGAUGAUAUUGAUAUGGGAACUGACAAUCUCUCCGGUACUAUUUGUAAACAAGUGAUCGGAUUUGCGGGUCUUUGAUCCUUGACAUGUAAAUAAGGACCUGGGGUUCCUUGAUGAUGUAACAGUACUGUAUUGGUUAAUGUGCCGUACACAUGAAAAAUAAUUGUACUGGCAA